UACCCGCAGCUCAAGUGGUGGUCAUUAUUAUUGGGCCUAAAGCGUCCGUAGCUGGUUUGUUAAAUGCCUGGGUAAAUCGAUGCGCUCAACGCAUCGAAUUCCGGGUAGACUGGCAAACUCGAGACCGGGAGAGGUGUAGGCUACUCGAGGGGUAGGGGUAAAAUCCUGUAAUCCUUCGGGGAGGACCAGUGGCGAAGGCGCUACACUAGAACGGCUCUGACAGUGAGGGACGAAGCCCUGGGGCGCAAACCGG
rnacentral:rRNA from 3 species